UACGUAGGGAGCGAGCGUUAUCCGGAUUUAUUGGGCGUAAAGCGUGUGUAGGCGGUUAAUUAAGUCUAAAAUUAAAACCUGAGGCUCAACCUCAGUUCGUUUUAGAUACUGGUUGGCUUGAGUAUGGUAGAGGUAAGUGGAAUUUCUAGUGUAGCGGUAAAAUGUGUAGAUAUUAGAAGGAACACCAGUGGCGAAGGCGACUUACUGGACCAUUACUGACGCUGAGGCACGAAAGCGUGGGGAGCAAAUAGG
rnacentral:rRNA from 1 species